GAAUGCAGGACUCACUGGAGGCCCUGAAGAUAAUACAUUCCUCACAUCACUGAGAGCUAAAUAUGCCGCAACCAUACUCAUGUCAGAAUGGAAUACCCUUCUACCAGAGGUGACAAAUGCAGCCAAAGAAAUCUACAAACAAUCAAAGUGACCGUGUUUGUAAAGAUGUUGAUUCCUGUAAACUGAAA